rnacentral:misc_RNA from 1 species
GAAGAAGAGAACGUAAUCUUGGACUGCCAAGGUGCGGCAGCUCUGGUUCAACUAAAGCUCGCUCUCGGAUCAACACGAAGACACUUUCCAAUUCUUCUCUACUGCUCCAGUUAUCGUACACCCCCCCCUAGACGCUCCAUAUGACGGCUGACAUUGAAACAGACCCUCUUCCGUCGAAUAGAACUGUGUCCAAGAAAAGCGACAUAUUGGAUGUUGUAGGUGGAAAUGGACCGUGGCAGAGGAGGAUAUUUUUGAUCAUCCUUCUUUUCGUUAUACCAGAUGCUACGCACAACUUUUCGAUCUCAUUUUUGGCACCUAACCUGGAUCAUUGGUGCGCAAGACCAAGUGGAGUCAAUAUCAGUGUCGAGGAAUGGAAAAGGAUAGCUCUCCCACCCAACGACUAUCAUUGCUCCAAGUACAAAGAUAUCAAUUUAACACUUCUUGAGGAAGACCUCAAUGUCACCAGAAGUAAUGAACUUGUCAAGUGUGAUGCUUGGGAAUAUGACGAAACAUUUUACACUUCCACUCUUCUCAGCCAGUGGAAUUUGGUAUGUGAUAAAGAAUGGCUAGUCUCAAUGUUAAAAUCUGUCUUCAUGGGAGGCGUUAUGGUAUCUGUUGUUUUGUUUGGGUAUAUAGCUGAUAAAUUAGGAAGAAGACCAGCCAUUGCCGCUUGUGCCUUUAUUGGUGUAUCAUCAGCUAUUAUUUGCACUUUUUCAAUUUCGUUCAUCAUGUUUGCCGUUUCCAGAUUCUUUGUUGCCCUUGGAAUUGAUGGAGUUUUCAACACCUCGUUUGUCUUACUUAUGGAAGUCGUUGGUCCAGACUGCAGAUCAUUUUAUGGUCUUGCUAUAGAAUUUGGCUGGUGCAUCGGAAUUGUCAGCCUUCCGGUUUUCGCUUAUUUGCUAAGAGAUUGGUUUUGGAUACAAACAGCACUCACGGCACCAUGCUUGCUACUCCUUAGUAGUUGGUGGUUGUUACCAGAGUCACCACGCUGGUUAUUGUCUCAAGGACGUGUCGAAGAAGCCCAGGAAACGCUCAGUAAGGCAGCCAAGGCAAAUGGCAUAGAGCCAUCCGACAUAGAUACGACUCUCCGAAAAAUAAUGUCAAAAGCCAGUGAGGCUCAUGAGUCUGGAGAAGCGUCCGGAAAUUUCCUAGAUUUGUUGCGUACUCCUGGACUCUGGCAAAUGACGCUAAAUGUGUACUUUCUUUGGUUCGUAAAUGUUUUCGUGUACUAUGGACUUUCGUACAACACCAACGAACUAGCCGGUGAUCCCUUCGUUAACUUUGCACUUUCCGGAGCAGUGGAGUUCCCGGCAUAUGUUCUCAGCAUUAUAGCUAUACGAUCCUUGGGCAGAAGAAAUCCUCUAGCUGUUGCUCUGAUAAUAGGAGGUGUUGCUUGUCUUCUCUGCUACCUCAUGCCCGAAAACCCGUGGUGGUUCGGUGUGACUGUUUCAAUGAUUGGCAAGUUCUGUAUAAGUUGCGCUUUCGGUAUAAUCUUGGUUUUCACGGCCGAGAUCUUCCCAACUGUGGUCAGAAACAUUGGCCUCGGAUCGGCUUCAAUGGUUGGUCGUGUCGGAUCCAUACUUGCGCCCUUCAUACGAGAACUUGGCCAUGCUACACAUCCAGUGGUGCCUCAAAUUGUGUAUGGUGUGCUUGCUGUUACGAGUGGAAUGCUGGUAUUGCUUUUGCCUGAAACAAAUAACUGCGUUAUUCCGGAUACUAUCAAAGAAGCUGCUAAUGCCUCCAGGUACAGUAAAUAAGUAGAGGAGCUCACGCCAUUCAGUGCUACAAUGCAAACAAAUUAUAUAGCAUUAGAAAAAAGUUGAGACCAACGAAACAUCAGAACGAUCACUCAGUAACAAUAAAAGUACCCAAUGGAGACGCGGAUAAAAGCUAUGAAGAAGAAAAGAUGACAGCAGUUACUUCUUUACCAAAUCCAGCUGCUAAA